rnacentral:rRNA from 1 species
ACGCUCGACACCUACGGGAGGCAGCAGUGGGGAAUAUUGCACAAUGGGGGAAACCCUGAUGCAGCGACGCCGCGUGGAGGAAGAAGGUCUUCGGAUUGUAAACUCCUGUUGUUGGGGAAAAAGAGGAUGGUACCCAACAAGGAAGUGACGGCUAACUACGUGCUAGCAGCCGCGGUAAUCUGAGGCGGGCUGGCAAGGC